rnacentral:misc_RNA from 1 species
AAUGGCUGGCCUUAAAUUUAUGUACUUCCUUUCAAUCAUUGUCCUCUUGACCAUCACCACCGGAUCAGGAUGCAUCAUGGCGUCGCCGCCGGCAGUCAAAGGUGCUUAUUGGCCUUCAUGGUCUGAAACAUUUCCACCUUCUGCCAUAGACACAAGCUUGUUCUCUCAUGUCUACUAUGCUUUUCUCAUGCCAAACAAUGUCACAUUCAAGUUCGAAAUACCCGAUUCGACCGCCGUUCUCCUCCUUGAUUUUUCAACCACCCUUCAUCGUAAAAAGCCACCAGUGAAAACCCUCAUCUCUAUUGGCGAUGGAGGUGCUAAUCCUCGCCAGUUUGCUAGGAUGGCAUCAGAGGCAAAGUCACGCAAGGUGUUCAUAAAUUCAGCUAUUGAAGUAGCAAGAAAAUUUGGGUUUGAUGGGCUGGAUCUGGACUGGGAAUCUCCUAAGGACCCAAAAGAGAUGGAAGACCUGGGUUAUUUAUUUAAAGAAUGGCGUGAUGCUAUCCAGAAGGAGGCUAAGACCACAAAAAAGCCUCCUCUAUUGCUCACGGCUGCCGUGUACUUUUCCGUCGAGUUCUUAUGGUUCGAAAAGUACCGGAAGUACCCGGUGGCACCGAUAAAGGAAAACUUGGACUGGAUUAAUGCAAUGUGUUAUGAUUAUCAUGGUUAUUGGGACACUACAGUCACAGGGGCCCACGCUGCUUUGUAUGAUUCAAAGAGUAAUAUAAGCACAAGCUAUGGUCUUAAGUCAUGGAUUAGGGCUGGAAUGCCUCGGCACAUGGUUGUUAUGGGCCUGCCAUUGUAUGGGAGGACUUGGAAGCUCAAAGACCCAAAUCUAAACGGAAUCGGGGCACCGGCGGUCGGACUUGGCCCCGGAGAUGAAGGUGUGCUGACUUUUGCCGAGGUGGUGAAGUUCAACGAGGACAAUGGAGCAACAGUGUUAUAUGAUGUGGAAACUGUAUCCACAUAUUCAUAUGCUGGAUCAUCAUGGAUUGGGUAUGAUGAUACCUUGUCUACCACCACUAAUAUUAGAUUUGCUCAAGCCCUUGGGCUUCGUGGGUAUUUCUUUUGGACCCUUAGCUAUGAUGAUGAGUGGAAAAUCUCAAUGCAAGCUUCAAGGGCAUGGCCUAUCGAUGAAUUAUAUUAAAGAUUGGGAGAUGGUAUAAUUCAUUAUAAAUUUAUAAUUGUUAUUUCUAUUUACAAGUGAUUAAAGACUUCAUGUAAGAAGGCUAGCUGACAAUUGAAGAGAAAAUGGAAUAGUUUCCAUAUGCAAGCCCGAUAGAUAUAUAGAAGCGAAAUGUGAUGAAUACUAGCAAAAAGAAAUUAUAUGUGAAAGGAGUAAAAUAAUGAGGGUGGUGUGUGGUAGUUCAGCGGUUGUAAAGAUGUUAGAGCCUAUAUAUAUUAUAAUAGGCUAUUCCAAAAAUCAAUAAACAAGAAUAGUUUUCUCUCAU